rnacentral:lncRNA from 1 species
GGAGCCGAGGGCCUGGAGGAAGACGGAGCGGGAGUAGAAGUUCUUUCCGGCGCAGUCGUCGGCGGCAUUGCUGAUGAUGCCGUUAAAGAAGGCGUCCGUGACGAUGUCCGACACGACGACGGCGUUGGUCGGUGGCGGGGCCUCGCAGGGUCCCUGCUGACAGCCGGUGCCGCAGUAGUCGGACCCGGUGCCGCAGUAACCCCAACGGCUGCAGCAGAGGUCCGACGAGCACCCGCAGUUCUGCGCGGCGGCGGAGUCCAGAAAGAGACCUGUGAUCACUGCGGCGAGCAGGGCGAGGAUGAGCAGACUCGGGCCGAGGGGCGCCAUGGAAAAGGAGAAUGAGAACAGAAG